rnacentral:lncRNA from 1 species
GGGCAAUUCACAUAGCAAUACUAUAAGCAAUUCACAGGGCAGUACUAUAAUCAAUUUACAGGGCAAUACCAUUUCCAAAUUUGUGCAAUUCACACUUCACAAAUCACAGUGACAAAGUAAGCAACUCACAAUCACAAAGGCAACAAUACUGGAAGGAACUGGAAAUCUGGUAGCAAAAUCAAUUGAAGAGCAAUGUGUAGGUAGUAGGCUUCAAUUGAGGCUUCAAGCAAUUGAAGAGCAAAGUGCUAAUUUCAUAUGUUAGAAAAAAAAAUCAAACAUUAUGACAAUUUCACAAAUCAAUUUAACAAAGAAUAAGAAAAGAAAAACGAGAAUAAGCUUCUGGUUUGGGGAUUCACAUUCUUCUUCUACUGUUGCCAAAGAAUCGUUGACAAUCGCAUGCCACGUCUGCCUAGUCCACUACCAUCUAGGGCUCGAAUAAACAAGGACGGAGCAGGCGAGCAACAACAAAAAUUGAAUGGUGAAUAUUGAGAGAAUGAGAAGUCUGGCUCCGAGAAGAGGAGAUGAAGACUGAGCAGAGCUAGGACUGGGAGGAGUAGGCGGAGGCAAAGGAAAAAAGGUGGGUAUGGGUUGAAUUGAAAAUUGAAUUCGAAUCGAUGGAAUGGGUUGUAAUAGGUAAUGGAUCUAUUGGUAUUGUGUUGAAUCAUGAAUGGUAUUCGGUUUCUCUUCUUGGCUAGGCAUUACAAUUACAAACAUAGGCUAAUAGUUUAAAAAAACUAAGGGAAAAUUACCUAGAAACCUAGAAACCUAC